rnacentral:rRNA from 1 species
UACGAAGGGGGCUAGCGUUGUUCGGAAUUACUGGGCGUAAAGCGCACGUAGGCGGCUUUCUAAGUCAGGGGUGAAAUCCUGGAGCUCAACUCCAGAACUGCCUUUGAUACUGGAGAGCUUGAGUCCGGAAGAGGUGAGUGGAACUCCGAGUGUAGAGGUGAAAUUCGUAGAUAUUCGGAAGAACACCAGUGGCGAAGGCGGCUCACUGGUCCGGUACUGACGCUGAGACGCGAAAAGCGUGGGGAGCAAACA